UUCUGUUACUUUUUUGCCUUAGUGGUCUAAAUCUGGGCAUCCAGACUUGACUACGUGUCUAUCCCCUGAUGACAGCAACCGUCCCACCCGGGGGAAACAGGACCCACAGAGGCAAUCUCCUGAGGGGUAAUAAUGAAAACAUCUGAAGUGGGAGCUCUGCCAAACUGCACAAGCCUAACAUCCAGAAGAGGAGCAAGGAAAACCAGGAUCCCUGGAGAGAAGAAUAGACAGAAACUUUAUAACUCCUGGGCAAGCAUGUACAGGUUUCCCUCUGUGUGUGCAAAUUCGCUCUUCUGUGAUGACCCUUUUUAUAUACAAAAUUUGUUAUAUGCGAGGUAAAUUCACUCUGAUGUGAUCACUGUGGUGGAAGCCUGCAGUCAGCUGCUCUGAGGUGCAUUGUGGGUGCACACCCCCCCACCUUCCCCAAGCAGUAGGAUUACUCAAGGUGCAUAGAGAUAAGAAUAUGAGUAAAUUCCUUCCAUCCAGGAAGAGCACACACCAAGUGCAGAUGCUUCCUCAGCCUGAUGGAGGGUAUCUAUACCUG